rnacentral:misc_RNA from 1 species
UGGCCGUAUACUUCACCUAAAAGGUUGAGAAAUAUCACAAGACUAACUUCUUGCAGAUUUGUCUCAUGAUCCUGACAUGUAAGUGUAACGAGUCUGAGCUCCAAUAACAAGCUCAACAAUUUUUGCUGUUAGAAGCCCGAUAAUAGGAACAGGUUCCAGUAGUUUUUCAGUGCUUUCAAGUCUUUGCCUGGUGUACUUGCUAAAGAAUGGAUCUCUCAUAAGGUAAAGAGCCCAUAACAAUUUUCUUCUUUUUAACU